GUGUGCAGGUCAGGUCAGGUGCGGCGGUCGCGGGUUGUUUGGGCAAGGAAAGCAGAUGGACAGGCGAGGCGGGUCGAGCUGGGUAGGUAGGUAGUAGGUAUCGUGCAUGACAUGGCGUGCCUUGGCGUAGCGCGGUGAGCAACGGCCAAAAAGAUGGGGGUACGCCGACGCCCAGAGGUCGACGGCACAAGAUACGAGGGCACCAGGAACGCUAGUCGUCGAGCGGCGAACCGACGGCGGUGUGCGCGUCGCCCGAGCCGACGCCACCGCCGUGGCCGUGGCACCGUUCUUUCCGGCGGACGACAGCUCCUAUCUCUCCUCGCCCGGCGGCACACCCUCCUGCUAGUGACCGGAGCGGCAGCUGGAGCUGCCACUCGCACGAUUGAUUCGAACACAAACUAGUUCUUUACAACAGUACAUAACAAGUCAAGCCUCUGAAGAGAGACGAAGCGUUAACUAGCGUACGAGCACAUGGCUGAUGGGUUACGGGUCAAGCAAGCGAGGGAAGAGCUGCAAGAGCACGACGAGCUAGCUCGGUCGUAGGUAGGACAAAGACACCUUCUAUGUGCUUUGGUAGACGAGGAAAACGGCUGUUUAUUACUAGUAUGCAACGAUUACUCACAGCUGGCGAUUGAUGAGGCUCAAUUACAAAUAGAAAGUUGUAAUUGUAAGUCAUUCAAACAUGAGGGAAGGAAAAAUAAAUGAGACGUAUAGUCGAAACUGAUUUUAGUUUGAAAUAUUUCAAACUGGAUAAAAUAUCUUUUGUUAUAAUUGUAAAUGUCAUUGUUUAAAUAUACUACACUUUUAUAUACGUUGCUACUUAAGUUUACUAUAUAUAAAGCACUACAUAUACAAUUAUAUAAAAAGUAAGAAUAUACUUCAACCUGAAAUGUGUUUGGGGGGAUUAUACGUUUCCUUUAUUUUUGCCUCCUUCAUGUUUGGUUGUAACUGUGUGCGGUGAAAAAAUAAAAACUCGUUGUUGUGUAAUGUGCAUCCAACUGUUCUGUCACUAGGUCAUAAGGUCAGCUGUGUCGGGUUAGUAAGAUGUUGAGCUAUUCGGUACCGGGCACCCGCACCCGGGUCCUUAGUUUUCUUCCGGCGCUUCGGUGUGUGCCGUGGGUGGGUAAGGUUGAAGACGCCUUAGGUUGCCGGUCCUAGCAGGGUAGUCUCGCUUGGUUCCCUGUUGGCGGGUUCCGCAGUAGGGGGAAGUGUGAGCAUGUCGACAUGAGGUUGCUCAGGGGAAGGUUGGCAGCAGCUGCAAAGGCGGCGAGUUGCCGGGUUGCUGGGAUUAAAUUAGGGUGGAGCCGCGGCGUGGCGGGCCCGGAGCCAAAGAGGCAGCGUAGCGGCAGCACGGGCAGGAGCCGCGGGGGCAUUUUUCGGAGCCGGUAGCGGCGGGGAGGAGUUUACGGGCUCUGGGGGUGCUGGGGAAGGCCGCGGAUGGGCAGGUGUGGGGUACCGGGGGUCAGAGGAGGCCGGGCGGAGGGGCACGGCGGGGGAGCGCGGCCGGGGGACGCGGCGGCCGGGGCCGGCCUCGGCGCGGUGGCACAGCUAGCCACUAAGGUCCCGCGCGACGCAACGGGACUCCCGCCGUCCUAGACCUGCCUCGCUAAAGAGUACAUGAUGUUUCCGGAGCUGUCUAGUAAGACCGAACUGGGCUGUUGAAGAUCUAAAAGUUGUACUAUGACAUCUACUCUGUCUACCUCCUAUACUAGGUAAGUCAGUUGAUUUUCUCUCCAAGUGCCUGAAGUUCGUUGCUUUGAUACACCUUUUAAAAUGGUUAAUAGUUUUUGAACGACUCGUCGUUUGUGGUCUCAAGUACCACCAACGAACACGACUGAGGUCCCAGACGGGAUGGUCAUAAAAUCCCGAAGUCGGACCACUACGUAAGUGACAGGCAUUACACCGUUUAAACCAUGGUGGUAUACUCGUACCUCGAAGUCUCUGAUGACGUCGUGAUCUCAAACGACAGUUGAGUGAAGUCCAUGGAUUACACAACCACCAUCCAGUAUCAGCAACACCACCGUAGGUCCGUGAUUACUCAUACUUCUCAUUCUUUCUGCUAGCAUCGAGAUCUUGGAAAUAGUCUCUGACCCAGAGUGAACCCUUCUCACGUUCUAAUUCGUGUCUUCGUCGUCGACCUUUAAACUCAAAACUUAGUGUCACGUCUGUAACGCUUUUCCUUAGUUAAUUAUCGAGUGACAACUUGAACAAUUGUAUGGGAACCUAUCUCCUUUCCCACUUCCUUCCCUUAAACUUGGAAGUACCCCCUAUGAUGUUGAAAUAACUAACGUGUAAACUCUUCACCUGUAAUCACAUGGCAGGUCCCGACCUUCCACCGUCGUUCAUACGGUAUUUCUUGUCCAGAUGGACCAGAACUAGUUACUUGUUCGUAAUAAAUAUGAGACUCCUUAUUUUGGCCUUACCUCAUUUCAACCUGUGUCGCUUGUUAUGUAAUGAUGGUUUCAUUUCGGACAUUUGACGGCCCUGUUUCGCUUAAGUUAGGUCGACGACACGCAAUAGACAGAUCUUAGCACUUUACCGCCGGUCAUUUUGACGUUUUGGUAUCAGUUUCCUUUGUUUACAUAUUACGACGGAGUAAACCGUCUGGAACACAACAUUGUAGACAUAUUACAAACUACAUAGUAACAUUGUUAUUCUAUGUCGAAACAUUACAGACAAAAUAGUCACAUAUUAAUAAAACUUACGUACGGACUGAGUUUAUUCGUUUUGACACUACGUUACGAUAAAACUUAGGCAUGG
rnacentral:rRNA from 1 species